rnacentral:tRNA from 1 species
GGAUUGUGGCUCAGCGGUAGAGCGCUCGCUUAGCAUGUGUGAGGCCCUGGGUUCGAUCCUCAGCACCA